UAUUCUAUAUGUAUUUAUGUGUGUUUUCUUCUGUUGAAAGGAAGGUUGGAUUUUGUCAUUAAUCCGUGGUCGAUCGAGACGAAACGAAAUAGUAGAUUUGUUGUCUCCGUCGUGCUGAUCGUACUGGUGCGAUUCGUUCACAAAUCUGACGGACGGAUCUGCGGAGAUCACGCGUUGAUCGAGGAGAGGUCGGUAGUGGCAAACGGUAUUUUCGCAAAAGUCGCGAUAUUUUAUGUACCGUUUCGCGUGAGAUCGCACGUGGAGGGGUAUUCGUGCAUUUUAGUCGUGCUGUGAGGGACUCGGUAUGAAUUACCGGUGUUUGGUGGA
rnacentral:lncRNA from 1 species